rnacentral:rRNA from 1 species
GACGAACGCUGGCGGCGUGCCUAAAACAUGCAAGUCGAACGGGGGCUUCGGCCCUAGUGGCGAACGGCGGAGUAAUACAUAAACAACGUGCCCUGAAGACCGGGAUAGUUACUGGAAACGGUGGGUAAUACCGGAUGUGGUUCUUGGAGGACAUCCUUUGAGAAUUAAAUGGUUUUUCGCUUCAGGAGCGGUUUAUGGCCUAUCAGCUAGUUGGUGGGGUAAUGGCCUACCAAGGCGACGACGGGUAGGGGGUCUGAGAGGAUGAUCCCCCCGAGUGGGACUGAGACACGGCCCACACACCUACGGGUGGCAGCAGUUGGGAAUCUUGCACAAUGGGGAAACCCUGAUGCAGCGACGCCGCGUGGAGGAUGAAGGAUUUAGGUCUGUAAACUCCUUUUUCAGGGAAGACUUAGGACGGUACCCUGAGAAUAAGCACCGGCUAACUACGUGCCAGCAGCCGCGGUAAAAUUACGUGUA